rnacentral:rRNA from 1 species
UUUUAUGGAGAGUUUGAUCCUGGCUCAGAGUGAACGCUGGCGGCGUGCCUAAUACAUGCAAGUCGAACGAUGAAGCUUCUAGCUUGCUAGAAGUGGAUUAGUGGCGCACGGGUGAGUAACGCAUAGGUCAUGUGCCUCUUAGUUUGGGAUAGCCAUUGGAAACGAUGAUUAAUACCAGAUACUCCCUACGGGGGAAAGAUUUAUCGCUAAGAGAUCAGCCUAUGUCCUAUCAGCUUGUUGGUAAGGUAAUGGCUUACCAAGGCUAUGACGGGUAUCCGGCCUGAGAGGGUGAACGGACACACUGGAACUGAGACACGGUCCAGACUCCUACGGGAGGCAGCAGUAGGGAAUAUUGCUCAAUGGGGGAAACCCUGAAGCAGCAACGCCGCGUGGAGGAUGAAGGUUUUAGGAUUGUAAACUCCUUUUGUUAGAGAAGAUAAUGACGGUAUCUAACGAAUAAGCACCGGCUAACUCCGUGCCAGCAGCCGCGGUAAUACGGAGGGUGCAAGCGUUACUCGGAAUCACUGGGCGUAAAGAGCGCGUAGGCGGGAUAGUCAGUCAGGUGUGAAAUCCUAUGGCUUAACCAUAGAACUGCAUUUGAAACUACUAUUCUAGAGUGUGGGAGAGGUAGGUGGAAUUCUUGGUGUAGGGGUAAAAUCCGUAGAGAUCAAGAGGAAUACUCAUUGCGAAGGCGACCUGCUGGAACAUUACUGACGCUGAUUGUGCGAAAGCGUGGGGAGCAAACAGGAUUAGAUACCCUGGUAGUCCACGCCCUAAACGAUGGAUGCUAGUUGUUGGAGGGCUUAGUCUCUCCAGUAAUGCAGCUAACGCAUUAAGCAUCCCGCCUGGGGAGUACGGUCGCAAGAUUAAAACUCAAAGGAAUAGACGGGGACCCGCACAAGCGGUGGAGCAUGUGGUUUAAUUCGAAGAUACACGAAGAACCUUACCUAGGCUUGACAUUGAGAGAAUCCGCUAGAAAUAGUGGAGUGUCUGGCUUGCCAGACCUUGAAAACAGGUGCUGCACGGCUGUCGUCAGCUCGUGUCGUGAGAUGUUGGGUUAAGUCCCGCAACGAGCGCAACCCCCUUUCUUAGUUGCUAACAGGUCAUGCUGAGAACUCUAAGGAUACUGCCUCCGUAAGGAGGAGGAAGGUGGGGACGACGUCAAGUCAUCAUGGCCCUUACGCCUAGGGCUACACACGUGCUACAAUGGGGUGCACAAAGAGAAGCAAUACUGCGAAGUGGAGCCAAUCUUCAAAACACCUCUCAGUUCGGAUUGUAGGCUGCAACUCGCCUGCAUGAAGCUGGAAUCGCUAGUAAUCGCAAAUCAGCCAUGUUGCGGUGAAUACGUUCCCGGGUCUUGUACUCACCGCCCGUCACACCAUGGGAGUUGUGUUUGCCUUAAGUCAGGAUGCUAAAUUGGCUACUGCCCACGGCACACACAGCGACUGGGGUGAAGUCGUAACAAGGUAACCGUAGGUGAACCUGCGGUUGGAUCACCUCCUUUCUAGA